UUAAAAUGGAACGAACUGGAUAACUUCUUACAUUGCUAGACUUUGGGUACAUCUUAUAUUUCCCCAAUGAAAUGGUGUGAUGCUGAUUCAUCUGAAGUACUUAUUCCUUACUGGUGCAAUUGAUUCAACUUCAUCCUCCCUUGACAGACCUUAGAUACUUGGAUACUUCCCUUCCCUUGGUGAAAGGAACAAGAAUUCCAGUAACUUUUACUGUUAUUUUAAACUUGGUGUCCAAAAUGGAGUAUUUUCUUUUGUAAAUAUUUCCUCACCUCGUAUAUAACAAAUAGUUUCAAACACUUUUCUUUGGCAAUAAUACUGCUAUUGGUAAUACAAGCAACAACCACUUUUGUCCUCUUUCUAUUUUGUCUUCCAUUUUCCCAAUGCUGCUGCCGUUAUACCUCGUAAUUCAAGAAAGACACAUUUAGGC
rnacentral:lncRNA from 1 species